UUUCUAAACUGUAGCCAACUCUAACUGACUGGCAGGGUGCAGAGUUGAAUGAAAAAUGGAAACAAGUCUAAUAAAUUACAAGGCAAGAGCCCAAAGCCGGCCCAACAGAAAAGAAACAGCCUACCAUACCCAAACCUAAACAUAGAACCCAUAAGCCAAUAAAAGUGAAACCGUACCUAGAAGGCGGGCCCUAAUCUUUCUAUGCUUCGGCAACACCAGCAUUGACAACGCCGCCGUUCUUGUGGAUGGAAAAUGCCCGGCGAAAAUAGGAGAGGAGUCUCCUUAGCUGAUACCAUAUCCAAGGAAUAAGCCUAUACUAGGCGAAAGAAGGAAGAUCCUCAGCCUAAACAUUCCGCCAGACCCAUAAGGGGUAGACUGCUACGAUUCAAGAAAGAAGAAGGUAGAAGAACGGUAUAGCCAAGGAGGCAGCCGCAUGCAGUUAACUAUUACACCUUGGAGAGGUCAUUUUCCCAUCAUACACAAACUCUCCCUCCCACAAGGUCAAGAAAAACAACCAUAAAACCAUAAGCAAAGUAACGUAGACCACAAGAAAAUCCUCUCCUAAACUCAGCCGGUCUACACAACCAAAAUUUAGAAGUGAUCUACAAUCCAACCCUACCCCAUAAGAGAACCCACUCACCAGGCUAGGGAAGGAUGACUUUUCUUUCCCCGGAGGGACAAAGGAAG
rnacentral:misc_RNA from 1 species